rnacentral:rRNA from 1 species
GAACGAGGUAGCAAUACCUAGUGGCAGACGGGUGAGUAACACGUAGUCAACCUACCUUUUAGUGGGGGAUAACUAGCCGAAAGGUUAGCUAAUACCGCAUACGAUCUUCGAGGGGCAUCUCUUGAAGAUGAAAGCAGCAAUGCGCUAAGAGACGGGACUGCGUCCCAUUAGUUAGUUGGUGGGGUAAUGGCCUACCAAGACUUCGAUGGGUAGCUGGCUUGAGAGAGCGACCAGCCACACUGGAACUGAAACACGGUCCAGACUCCUACGGGAGGCAGCAGUGGGGAAUUUUGCGCAAUGGGCGAAAGCCUGACGCAGCAACGCCGCGUGUGUGAUGAAGGUCUUCGGAUCGUAAAGCACUUUCGACUGGGACGA